rnacentral:rRNA from 1 species
UGUUUCGGCUAGGGGGCCAUCCCGGCUUACCAACCCGAUGCAAACUGCGAAUACCGGAGAAUGUUAUCACGGGAGACACACGGCGGGUGCUAACGUCCGUCGUGAAGAGGGAAACAACCCAGACCGCCAGCUAAGGUCCCAAAGUCAUGGUUAAGUGGGAAACGAUGUGGGAAGGCCCAGACAGCCAGGAUGUUGGCUUAGAAGCAGCCAUCAUUUAAAGAAAGCGUAAUAGCUCACUGGUCGAGUCGGCCUGCGCGGAAGAUGUAACGGGGCUAAACCAUGCACCGAAGCUGCGGCAGCGACGCUUAUGCGUUGUUGGGUAGGGGAGCGUUCUGUAAGCCUGUGAAGGUGUGUCGUGAGGCAUGCUGGAGGUAUCAGAAGUGCGAAUGCUGACAUAAGUAACGAUAAAGCGGGUGAAAAGCCCGCUCGCCGGAAGACCAAGGGUUCCUGUCCAACGUUAAUCGGGGCAGGGUGAGUCGACCCCUAAGGCGAGGCCGAAAGGCGUAGUCGAUGGGAAACGGGUUAAUAUUCCCGUACUUGGUGUUACUGCGAAGGGGGGACGGAGAAGGCUAUGUUGGCCGGGCGACGGUUGUCCCGGUUUAAGCGUGUAGGUGUGUGUUCCAGGUAAAUCCGGUUCACUUUAACACUGAGGCGUGA